UACAGAGGGUGCAAGCGUUGUUCGGAAUCAUUGGGCGUAAAGCGCGCGUAGGCGGGUUGGUAAGUCCGCUGUGAAAGCCCGGAGCUUAACUCCGGAGGGUCGGUGGAUACUGCCAGUCUUGAAGGUGCUAGGGGGAGGUGGAAUUACCGGUGUAGCGGUGAAAUGCGUAGAUAUCGGUAGGAACACCAGUGGCGAAGGCGGUCUCCUGGGGCAUUCUUGACGCUGAGGCGCGAAAGCUGGGGAGCAAACGGG
rnacentral:rRNA from 1 species